AGUGAACGCUGGCGGUAGGCCUAACACAUGCAAGUCGAACGGCAGCACAGUAAGAGCUUGCUCUUACGGGUGGCGAGUGGCGGACGGGUGAGGAAUACAUCGGAAUCUACUUUUUCGUGGGGGAUAACGUAGGGAAACUUACGCUAAUACCGCAUACGACCUACGGGUGAAAGCAGUGGAUCUUCGGACCUUGCGCGAUUGAAUGAGCCGAUGUCGGAUUGGAUAGUUGGCGGGGUAAAGGCCCACGAAGGCGACGAUCCGUAGCUGGACUGAGUGGAUGGUCGGCGACAUUGGAACGUGGACACGGUCCAUAGUCCUACGGGAGGCAGCAGUGGGGAAUAUUGGACAAUAGGCGCAAGCCUGAUCCAGCCAUACCGCGUGGGUGGAGAAGGCCCUCGGGUUGUAAAGCCCUUUUGUUGGGAAAGAAAAGCAGCAGGUUAAUACCCCGCUGUUCUGACGGUACCCAAAGAAUAAGCACCGGCUAACUUCGUG
rnacentral:rRNA from 1 species